CUGAAAAAUUAUGGCCAGAAAAAUUACGGCUCCUCUGAUGCUCUUGAGUGAACAUAUUUUAGAGGGCUUUGGGAAAUAGUAAAGGAAAGCACGAGAAAGCUGAGUGAAAUAUUCCCAUCGGUCAGUUUGUUAUUAUUGUGAUUAGAACUUGACGACAGAGCGGAAGUCUGCAAUCAUUAACUCCAUGGUACUAACUGGUGGUCAGUGUGUCCUUCCAUUCAGCACAGGAAAUUACCCUACUGAGGCUGCCAGCUUGCUCUGUAUCCUGCUACUUGUCCCCUGACUCCACAAGUUCUCACUUCAGUAUUGAAUCUUCCAAGUGGUGCCUUAUUGAAGUCCUUUUCAAAAUCCAAAUAUGUGGGCCUCAAUCUCCUGAGGAGCAGCAAUCACCUCCGGACUGCGGCUCUGCUCAUCCUUUUUUGCACCAUUCCAGAGCUCCAUAUUCCUGGUCAGCUCUUCUAAUUCUGGCAGAAAUGCAGCCUUUACCUUCAAUUCCUAGUAGUGCUGGAUCACCAGGGGAAGACAAGCCACAUCCCUUUUUACGGCACUAGCUGCCAUAUUCUGGUGUUGAUAUUGGAGAAAUGUGACUGACAGUCAAGAAGCAUCCAAUUGGGUAAUGAGCAAGUCUAUUCACUUUCUAAUUUGAAUGGAAAGCCAGAACACCGUGAGGAUAAAUGUGUCCGGCUACCAAUUGAGGGAGUGUGGGGGAGAGUGACUGGAAGCCAGCAGUCACGUGUUGGAAUCUUCUGGGAUAUGUACCACUGAAGUUGGCAAUCUUACGGUCUCACAUGCAGAAUGGAGCUGAAAAGUGUAAUUAAAUGAUGUCACGCUAACCACACAUUUACUAUGAGCAAGUGUAAUAAAUUUGGACCAGCCUUUUAAUGAUCUGCUAAUUCUGCCAUAAGCAUCUAUUACAAAAUGAACAUUUUGACAGAAUUUUGUGGUACUACUCAAAAAAUUUUGCCUUCUGUUGUGGAGAUAAGCAGUAUCACAGAAACAUAACAGAUGGCUUUGGCAUGAAGGAAAACAGAUUCCCCAGUGUAUUAGUUUUCAAAUGGGAGCC